CGCUCAUCAAUCGGUUUCGAGUCUCAAAGGUUAAACCGCACACAGCUUGACCGGUAUACUUGAGCGGUUUACAUGGAAGCCUUGACCGGAUAAGUGACAGCGCACGAAAAGGUACAUCAAAGUACACUUUGGAAGGUUUAAGGCAUAGCAAGCUUUUAUUAGAUACACAGCCCAGGUGGGACAAAGUGUACUUGCAUAGAAGACUCCGAUAGUCUGAACUGAAGUUAGAGGGAAGCUAAAAGUUGAAGAUAGAAGAGUGAAGUGAAAUUGUGUGUCUGAGAUCAAGUCUAAACAUACUCUGAAGAGAGUUCAUAUCAGUGAAGAUACAUUGUAGCUAUAUUUUAGACUGGUGUUGAUAAUUGUACAUUGUAUUGUAUUUGGGCU